UACGUAGGGGGCAAGCGUUGUCCGGAAUUAUUGGGCGUAAAGAGCGUGUAGGCGGUUCGGUAAGUCUGCCGUGAAAACCUGGGGCUCAGCCCCGGGCGUGCGGUGGAUACUGCCGGGCUAGAGGGUGGUAGAGGCGAGUGGAAUUCCCGGUGUAGCGGUGAAAUGCGCAGAUAUCGGGAGGAACACCAGUAGCGAAGGCGGCUCGCUGGGCCAUUCCUGACGCUGAGACGCGAAAGCUAGGGGAGCGAACAGG
rnacentral:rRNA from 1 species